rnacentral:lncRNA from 1 species
CCUUCUCUUGUUGUGUUUUCUCGGAACAUAUUCGAACAGCAGUAUUAUUUUCCACUUUAUCAAGAAAUCCAUUUUCCAUGACAAGCUCUCUAUUUAGUAAUUAAACGUGAAUCAACACCUCUUUUCUAUGAUGAAAAUGCAAUGAAAUCAUAAUCAAAACAAAAUAAAACACGUCAGUACAAAAACAUAAAUAACAAAAAGAGUACCUAUUUGGAUGACCACUAGGGGUUUGGCAUGGUUCUACCUAGGGUAGGCUCUUAGGGUUCACUAUAUGUGGUUUGUUCUAAAGUAAAGGUACCUGAACCAGCAGAUUCCUCGAUCC